rnacentral:lncRNA from 1 species
CUUAAAAGUCGUUGCUCCAGUGGCUGGUAAAAACAAUGAGCAUCGAAUGAUCCAAUGGUCACUUUGGGUAGGCAUCAAAUCAUCCAGUGCCCCCUGCUGACGCAUAUAACCGUUGGACCCCUCUGCCCAAAGUUACUCCGAUGCUUCAUCCGAUGGUACCAUCAGAUCAUCCUGUGCUGAAGAGGUUUUGCCCGAAAACCUUUUAGAUGAUUUCAAAGUAAAUAUGCUUCAUCUGAUAGUCACCUCCACGUAGGCAUCGGAUCAUCUGGUACUUCAAUCUUCCAUGCCUUCGCUUCAGAAUUCA